GAUGAACGCUGACAGCAUGCUUAACACAUCAGCAAUUGAUUGGUGGCGGACGGGUGAGUAACGCGUAAAGAACUUGCCUCACAGGUAGGGACAACAUUGGGAAACGAAUGAUUAUACCUAAUACUGGGGGAGAGCUUUGCGUCCCAUUAGCUAGUUGGGGAGGUAACGGCUCACCAAGGCGAGGAUGGGUAGCCGGCCUGAGAGGGUGAUCGGCAACAAGGGGACUGGGACACGGCCCUUACUCCUCCGGGAGGCAGCAGUGGGGAGUAUUGGACAUUGGACCAAAGUCUGCUCCAGAAAUUCUGUGUGCACGAUGAAGUUUUCGGAAUGUAACGUGCUUUCAGUUGGGAAGCGGUACCAACAGAAGAAGCAACGGCUAACUACGUGCCAGCAGCCGCGGUAAUAC
rnacentral:rRNA from 1 species